GCCUUCGUAGUGUGGUGGGCAGCACACUCUGUGCGUAUUCAAGAGGUCCGUGGUUCGAAUCCCGGCGAGUGCA
rnacentral:tRNA from 1 species